GACGAACGCUGGCGGCGUGCUUAACACAUGCAAGUCGAACGAAGUGGCGAACGGGUGAGUAAUACGUGUGUAACCUGCCCUCCUUUUUGGGAUAAGCCUUGGAAACGGGGUCUAAUACCGAAUAAAGGGGGAUGGGCUCGCGGCCGAUCAGCUUGUUGGUGGGGUGAGGGCCUACCAAGGCGGUGACGGGUAGCCGGCCUGAGAGGGGGACAGGAAACAUGGGGAAUGGGAGACGGCGCAGACUAUUACGGGAGGCAGGAGUGGGGGAUGUUGCAAAAUGGGCGAAAGCAAGAUGAAGCGGCGCGGCGUCGGGGAUGAUGGAUUGCGGGUGGUAAACAUCGGUGGUAAGCGAAUGGGUAGGUGGAGAAGAAGCGCCGUCUAACUAAGGGCAAGCAGCCGCGGUAAUUC
rnacentral:rRNA from 1 species